CACCCAGGGGAGGGAGGAGGGAAGAGGUUGGCAGAAAUAUGCAAAUGCGGAGUGGGUGUGAGCAGGAAUGGGCCAGGGCAGGCAGGGAAGCCCGGGGACUGGGGCGGGCGAUUGAGGAACCUGUGUUUUGCUUCUGAGUUCUACCCCAGGAUGGCCAGAGGAGACCAGGCUUGACUGACAGCCCUGUUUCCUAGGGGAUGUCACUGUCUAGGUAGAGAUGCUGGAGAUAUAGCAGGAAGAAAACACACCCAAAUCCUGGCCUGCAUGGAGCUGAUAUUGUAAGAUACCCCACACCAUCAGUCAAAGAUAUACCAUGUCAGCAAGAGGAAGCCUGGAUAUGCCGUGUGUGUUUUUCUAGUGGUGAUUGUUUCUUCAUUAGAGCCUACAAAGUCGGUAUGUUUUAAAAUCCAAAACUGGAACAAAAUGAAAGCCGU
rnacentral:lncRNA from 1 species